AUACCCCUGCGAUGUUCGUUACAUUGCUCCAAAGGUUUUGAGCCAACACUCUAACCUAGGGAGCCUGAUACUCCUUCUUUCAAAAACAUGCCUCCUUUGAGUGGACGUUUGCGAUUGGUAGGGAAGGCACCCACCUGCACAUGCAGGUUCAAAACACGGAGCUGGACGGCAUUGUGGGGAUUAA
rfam:Phascolarctobacterium sp. YIT 12067 genomic scaffold Scfld300, whole genome shotgun sequence.